GCGUUGGUGGUAUAGUGGUGAGCAUAGCAGCCUGCCAAGCAGUUGUCGCGAGUUAGAUUCCUGGCCAAUGCA
rnacentral:tRNA from 1 species